rnacentral:rRNA from 1 species
UACGGAGGGUGCGAGCGUUGUCCGGAAUCAUUGGGCGUAAAGGGCGCGUAGGUGGCCCGGUCAGUUCGUGGUGAAAGCGCGGGCUCAACUCCGCGUCGGCCAUGAAUACUGCUGGCUUGAGCACUGUAGAGGCAGGCGGAAUUCCGGGUGUAGCGGUGGAAUGCGUAGAGAUCCGGAAGAACACCGGUGGCGAAGGCGGCAUCCUGGACCAACACUGACGCUGAGAGCGGAAGCCAGGAAGCAAGCGGAUUAAGAAACCCG